rnacentral:sRNA from 2 species
AAUACUAUAGCGCUGAAUCAUAUUGAGCGGGAGAACCAUUUUUUGGGGUGAAUCUUAUUAUUUAAUAAGUAGGGUUAAUUUUCUUCGACCCGAAUCCGUCAGCUAAUCUCGUAAGCGUUGGAGAGAAGUUUU